rnacentral:lncRNA from 1 species
UUAAUCCAAGCCUACGUCCACUCUCCCACGAUAACAGCCUUCUUGGCUGGAUUCCACUAUGCAAUCAACAAGAGAUUACAACUCCGAGUGCAAACACUUAGUAGAUCACACUAUCUCACUAAGUCACUCUCUUGGUAUCUCUCUCACGAUUACAAACGUUUAAGCUCUCAAGAGACAAGUAUAUGAUCUAAAGUCGCUUAGACUUUGGAAUUAUAAAUUCUACGCUCCGUCUCUUACUUGCUCAUCGGUCCAUGAUCUCCUUAAAUACUCCUCCACUUCCAAACUACCGUUGGACAGCAUCCCCCGGAGAAUCGUCUUCCAAUAUACCCAUUGGACAGCUCUGUAUCUUAGAAGAUUUGGUAGCCGUUGAGUGACAAAGGUAAAAUCCCAAAUUGAUUCCGAUCGCCC